UACGUAGGGUGCGAGCGUUACUCGGAAUUACUGGGCGUAAAGUGUGCGCAGGCGGCUUCGCAAGUCGAGUGUGAAAUCCCCGAGCUUAACUUGGGAAUUGCGCUCGAAACUACGGAGCUGGAGUGUGGCAGAGGAAGGUGGAAUUCCACGUGUAGCGGUGAAAUGCGUAGAGAUGUGGAGGAACACCGAUGGCGAAGGCAGCCUUCUGGGCCAACACUGACGCUCAUGCACGAAAGCGUGGGGAGCAAACAGG
rnacentral:rRNA from 1 species